rnacentral:rRNA from 1 species
GAUGAACGCUGGCGGCGUGCCUAAUACAUACCAGUCGAGCGAACAGACGAGGAGCUUGCUCCUCUGACGUUAGCGGCGGACGGGUGAGUAACACGUGGAUAACCUACCUAUAAGACUGGGAUAACUUCGGGAAACCGGAGCUAAUACCGGAUAAUAUAUUGAACCGCAUGGUUCAAUAGUGAAAGACGGUUUUGCUGUCACUUAUAGAUGGAUCCGCGCCGCAUUAGCUAGUUGGUAAGGUAACGGCUUACCAAGGCAACGAUGCGUAGCCGACCUGAGAGGGUGAUCGGCCACACUGGAACUGAGACACGGUCCAGACUCCUACGGGAGGCAGCAGUAGGGAAUCUUCCGCAAUGGGCGAAAGCCUGACGGAGCAACGCCGCGUGAGUGAUGAAGGUCUUCGGAUCGUAAAACUCUGUUAUUAGGGAAGAACAAAUGUGUAAGUAACUAUGCACGUCUUGACGGUACCUAAUCAGAAAGCCACGGCUAACUACGUG